AAUUAGCUGCCUGUCGUCGAGUGAGUGAGUUUCGAAGAUAUACGAGAAGAGAAAGUUAUAAUUCCUAUCGUUAUAAUUUAUCUGAAAUAUUUCGUUCUAUUAAAUAUUCUCUUAAAUAUUUCGUUUGAAAAUUAUUAUACAAUUCGUUUUUUUUUUUUUUCUAAUCAUUUACAUUCGUGUAAAAAUAUCGCGCCUGUAAAAAUACUUAUUUAACGAAACGAUGAAACUUCUAUAUCGGUUUUUUUUAAGAAAACGCUUUGAUUGCCACACAUGGUUCCUUUUUCAUGAAACUUUUCAUCCUUAUGUUCGGUGGAUCGGAAAAAAAGAUAAACUAAGUGUCGUGCGUCCUACCACGACAACGAAACAGGACAUAGAAUUAAGCAAACUACCUGGAUGACACCUGGAAUGACGUAUUGCAGGAAAGUGAGCGGAGUUUAUAUUUUACGAGGUUGCCUCGUAAAUAGCUUCGUAGCUUAACAACCGAACACCUCGAGGACAAGAGCCGCACGUUACCCCAAGCAGUGCCGUAACACGCGACACCCUCAUGAACACCUUAUACUAUUCUCGAGUCAUCUUUAUCAUCGCCAAUAUAUUACUCUUUCAUAGCAGUCAUGCCUGUUCACAAUCUUUCGGUAUAUUCUUGAAGGGUCUUAAAACUUACUUUCUCUAAAGGUCCUAAGACAUAUUUAUUAAUAUUUAAUUUCAUAGACCUUAAUAAUAAACAAAAUAUUAUGGUCAUAUAUUUGCUGUCAGUUGGGUGCUGUCAUCAAUAGAGGUACAAAGGAAAAGAGAAAAAUUAUUUAAAGUAAAAUCGGGGAUUUUACUUUUUCCAAAUUUCUUCGUGUAUGAAACUUUCAAAAAUGUAGGAUCAUAAAACUUUCUCUUUGCGCAUUUUGAACAGACAUAAGAUUUACGUUUGACUUACAUGUAACAUUGGAAAUUUCCAACGGUCCCCAACGAUUUCGACCGUAACGACCUUUUAAAUUUUAAAAAGCAUCUUGAAAGUUUGUUUCUAUUUCUAUACAAUUCAUUGUACAAGUAACACGUCAGCUUCUUAAAAGGUCACUGAAGGAUAAUCAGGUAACAAAAAGAGAAAGAAAUAGAAAAAAAAAAAAGAAAGAAAGAAAGGAAAAGAAGAAAGAAAGGAAAAUAGAAA